rfam:Elusimicrobia bacterium GWA2_62_23 gwa2_scaffold_2417, whole genome shotgun sequence.
GGCCCCUUCGUCUAGCGGUUAGGACGCUGCCCUCUCAAGGCAGAGAUCACGGGUUCGAAUCCCGUAGGGGCCG